AUGGAGAUGAUACGGGAGCCGCUGCCCACAGCAAACUUGUUCUCGUUGCGGGCCCAGGAGAAUGACUGAUGGGUUUGCAAGCACAUCAAGAAGCCUAUCCCCUCCACCGUCCUCAGCCUGGAGUGGCACCCCAACAAUAUGCUGCUGGCUGCCGGCUUCUGCGACUUCAAGUGCCAGAUCUUUUCAGCCUACAUCAAGGAGGUGGAGGAGCGGCCGGCACCCACCUCAUGGGGCUCCAAGAUGCCCUUUGGGGGUGUUGAUGUUUGAGUCCAGCAGUAGCUGCCGCUGGGGACAUGGCGUCUGCUUCUCAGGAGCGGGAGCCGCAUGGCCUGGGUGAGCCAGGACAGCACCGUGUGCCUGGCUGAUGCCGAGAAAAAGAUGGCCAUCGCGACCCUGGCCUCUGAAACACUGCCUCUGCUGGCGCUGACCUUCGUCACAGAAAACAGCCUGGUGGCAGCGGGCCAUGACUGCUUCCCAGUGCUGUUCACCUACGACGCCGCUGCAGGGACGCUGAGCUUCUGCGGGCCACUGGAUGUGCCCAAGCAGAGCUUGCAGCGCGGCUUGACUGCCCGUGAGCACUUCCAGAACCUUGACAAGAAGGCGAGCUCCGAGGGCGGCAUGGCCGCGGGUUCGGGCCUGGACUCGCUGCACAAGAAUAGCGUCAGCCAGAUCUCAGUGAUCAGCGGGGGCAAGGCCAAGUGCUCACAGUUCUGCACCACUGUCAUGGACGGUGGCAUGAGUAUCUGGGAUGUGAAGAGCUUGGAGUCAGCCUUAAAGGACCUCAAGAUCAAAUGACGUAUGCGGAAUGUCUUCAUCCCAGCUGCUGGGGAAGUGGGGCGAGGGGUCAGGGAGGCUAAUGGUUGCUUUGCUGGUAUGAGUUCCCACAGGGGCUGCUCCCUCAAAAAGGGAGGGGACAGAUGGGGAGCUUUUCUUACCUAUUCAAGGAAUAUAUGCCUUUUUCUUAAAGAAAUGCUUUCAUUUACUGAAAAAAAUAAAUGCCUCCAAAGCACUAUGCUGGUAAUGAACUGCUUCAAAAUGUGGAGGUAGUAAAAUGCAACUGUGUCAAAAAAAAAAACAAAAAAAAAAAGACGAAAAAAAAAAAAAAAA